rnacentral:rRNA from 1 species
UGAGGAACAUGACUUCCGGUGGGGGAUAGCCGGCCCAACGGCCGGGUAAUACCGCGUACGACCUCUUGGGGACAUCCCCGAGUGGUGAAAGCAGCAAUGCGCCGAAAGAGUGCCUCGCGGCCUAUCAGCUAGUUGGUGAGGUAACGGCUCACCAAGGCGACGACGGGUAGCUGGUCUGAGAGGAUGGCCAGCCACAUUGGGACUGAGACACGGCCCAGACUCCGUAGGGAGNAGCG